rnacentral:piRNA from 1 species
UCCUAUUGCUACAGGAAAGCCCAGAGGAC